CAGCAGCCGCGGGAAUACGUAGGUGGCAAGCGUUGUCCGGAUUUAUUGGGCGUAAAGCGAGCGCAGGCGGUCAAUUAAGUCUGAUGUGAAAGCCCCCGGCUCAACCGGGGAGGGUCAUUGGAAACUGGUUGACUUGAGUGCAGAAGAGGAGAGUGGAAUUCCAUGUGUAGCGGUGAAAUGCGUAGAUAUAUGGAGGAACACCAGUGGCGAAGGCGACUCUCUGGUCUGUAACUGACGCUGAGGCUCGAAAGCGUGGGUAGCAAACAGGAUUAGAUACCCCCGUAGUCCCUGUCUCUUAUAC
rnacentral:rRNA from 1 species